rnacentral:rRNA from 1 species
UGAGGAAUAUUGGUCAAUGGACGAGAGUCUGAACCAGCCAAGUAGCGUGCAGGAUGACGGCCCUAUGGGUUGUAAACUGCUUUUGUUUGGGAAUAAUCGACAUUACGUGUAAUGUUUUGCAUGUACCAUUCGAAUAAGGACCGGCUAAUUCCGUGCCCGCAGCCGCGGUAAUACGGAAGGUCCAGGCGUUAUCCGGAUUUAUUGGGUUUAAAGGGAGUGUAGGCGGUUGGUUAAGCGUGUUGUGAAAUGUAGAUGCUCAACAUCUGACUUGCAGCGCGAACUGGCUGACUUGAGUACACACAACGUAGGCGGAAUUCAUGGUGUAGCGGUGAAAUGCUUAGAUAUCAUGAAGAACUCCGAUUGCGAAGGCAGCUUACGGGAGUGUUACUGACGCUUAAGCUCGAAGGUGCGGGUAUCGAACAGG